rnacentral:rRNA from 1 species
AUUGAACGCUGGCGGCAGGCCUAACACAUGCAAGUCGAGCGAGCGGCGGACGGGUGAGUAGUGUAUGGGGAUCUGCCUGGUGGAGGGGGAUAACUACUGGAAACGGUAGAUAAUCCCGCAUACCAUCAGAUGAACACAUAUGGGAUUAGCUUGUAGGUGAGGUAACGGCUCACCUAGGCGACGAUCCCUAGCUGGUCUGAAAGGAUGAUCAGCCAAACUGGGACUGAGACACGGCCCAGACUCCUACGGGAGGCAGCAGUGGGGAAUAUUGCACAAUGGGCGCAAGCCUGAUGCAGCCAUGCCGCGUGUAUGAAGAAGGCCUUCGGGUUGUAAAGUACUUUCAGUCGGGAGGCGUUACCGACAGAAGAAGCACCGGCUAACUCCGUGCCAGCAGCCGCGGUAAUUC